UACGUAGGGUGCAAGCGUUGUCCGGAAUUAUUGGGCGUAAAGAGCUUGUAGGCGGUUUGUCGCGUCUGCUGUGAAAUUUCGGGGCUCAACCCCGAACUUGCAGUGGGUACGGGCAGACUAGAGUGUGGUAGGGGGAGACUGGAAUUCCAGGUGUAGCGGUGGAAUGCGUAGAGAUCCGGAAGAACACCGGUGGCGAAGGCGGCCUGCUGGGCAGUAGCUGACGCUGAUGCGCGACAGCGUGGGGAGCAACAGG
rnacentral:rRNA from 1 species